GGCUCAUUAUAUCAGUUAUAGUUUAUUUGGUGAAGUAUACUACUUGGAUAACCGUAGUAAUUCUAGGGCUAAUACAUGAGAAAGUCCUCUGGUGAGGUGUGUUUAUUAGAAUGAAAACCAUAUGCUUCGGCAUGAUAGUGAGUAAUAGUAACUUAUCGUAUCGCAUGCUUAAUGUAGCGAUGAGUCUUUCAAGUUUCUGCCCUAUCAGCUUUCGAUGGUAGUAUAUGGGCCUACCAUGGCAGUAACGGGUAACGAAGAA
rnacentral:rRNA from 1 species